GACGAACGCUGGCGGCGUGCCUAAUACAUGCAAGUCGAACGCAGUGGGGACGGGUGAGUAACACGUGGGUAACCUCCCAUCAGAGGGGAUAACACUUGGAAAAAGGUGCUAACCAGAUAUUGAUGGAUGGACCCGCGGUGCAUUCGCUAGUUGGUGAGGUAACGGCGCACCAAGGCCAAGAUGCAUAGACGACCGGCAGGGGUGAGCGGCCACAAUGGGACUGAGACACGUCCCAGACUCCGAGGGGAGGCAGCAGUAGGGAAUCUUCGGCAAUGGACGAAAGUCUGACCGAGCAACGCCGCGUGAGUGAAGAAGGUUUUCGGAUCGUAAAACUCUGUUGUUAGAGAAGCGGUAUCUAACCAGAAAGCCACGGCUAACUACGUGCCAGCAGCCGCGGUAAUAC
rnacentral:rRNA from 1 species